rnacentral:misc_RNA from 1 species
CACCACUCAAGCUAUGCUUGGUAUUGGGCGUCGUCCUUAGUUGGGCGCGCCUUAAAGACCUCGGCGAGGCCUCACCGGCUUUAGGCGUAGUAGAAUUUAUUCAAUAACGUCUGUCAAUGGAGAGGACUUCUGCCGACUGAAACCUUUAUUUUUUACA